rnacentral:lncRNA from 1 species
CCCUUGCUCUGUAAAAGCAAGCUCUCUUCCUUGUUCUUUGGAUUUGCUAUGGUCUGCCAUAGAUUACAUUUCCCAAACUGCAAUUCCUCUGGGUAUUCCAGAGUAAACUCAUUCUGCUACUGAGGAAGACCUUCCUGACCCUCUUGUUGGGCUUCAGUGACCCUUCUCACACUCCAGAGCACCUUCAGCAAAGCUCCCUCUGAGCACGUACAACAGUCUAUUGGCAUUGAGUCUCAGUCUCCUUAGUGCCUGGCACAGAACAGGUUCAGAUGACCCAGGAACACCUUAGAGCCAUCCCAGCGACGUCCCCAGCCCCUUGUUUGAUGGAUUGCUUCUGCAGUCAGUGGCACCAGAUUGCUUGUCCAGUCCACAGUGGAGACAGAAGAACUGUGAUCACUCGUGACGGCGACUCUUGCUUCUUAGGACCUUUUCGGAUUCAGGAAGCAGAAAUCACUUGAACUAAUGUAAGUAAAGAGGAGAAAGGCUUCUGAGGACACUGGAGUGUCACAUAAAGCAGCCCAGUCAUGGAAGGUCAGGGGUCAGAAGCCUUGGACCCCACGGAGCCUGGAAGUGAAGCCCAGCGCUGGCUCUUCCUCUGCUUCUCUCUCUGCUGCAGGCUGGUCUCUGCUUCUCAGCCCCAUGAACAGGAGGCCCGUUGGUCAAGAGUUUAGAGUCUUUCUCCUGUCAAACUAAGGCUGGGGUCCUUGCCGUCUUCUGCCCUGGGAGGCCCAGUUCUGCUCACGGCACCCUCUCUUUUAAUUCCCAUUGACCAAAGCACUCAAAAAGUUCAAAAGUCUUUCCAACAAAAUUGAAACAAAUAAUAAUGUUUUGUCCACUGGUAUUUGUGAUCGUGAGGCCUGGGGCUGGGGCCUCUCUUGCUUAGUAAAGGGAUGUUUGCUGUAAGCCUUAAAUUCCCAAAACCUCUUGAGUCAAUUCAAGUCAACCUAUUAGUACCAAAAACAAAAUUGGAAAGCUCAAUGUUGCCUUUUUUACAUAAUGUCUUUUAGGAAAUUCUGACUGAUGCACGAAAACAUUAAAUAGAAGUAGGGGAAACAAGCAUUAUGUUACAUAUAAAUUUUGUUUUUCUUUUUCUUUUUGUCUUUUUAGGGCCGCACCCGUGGCAUAUGGAGGUUUCCAGGCUAGGGGUCCAACUGGAACUGUGGCCCUGGCUUACGCCACAGCCACAGCAAUUCAGGAUCUGAGCCUGUCUGUGACCUACACUGCAGCUCACGGCAACGCCAGAUCCUUAACCCACUGAGCAAGGCCAGGGAUCGAACCCAGGUCCUCAUGGAUACUAGUCAGAUUUGUUUCUGCUGAGCCAUGAUGGAAACUCACCACAUAAAUUUAAUAUAUAACAAAGGAGGCUUCACAUAGAGAAAGGCAGAGUCAUUUAGUACAUUGUGAGGGAAUUCCUAAUUAGCAAUUCAGAAACAUAUCUCUGGCCCUGACCUCUUUCCAUAUAUCAAAUAGUAAUUUAAUCUUGUAUACAUUCAAGAGUGACACAUUUAACAAUGAACUAUUGGAGAAAAACCAGAAUAGAAGUGAAAUUUAUCAAUCUGUGUACAGAGGAGAACUUUCUAAGUGUAAAUUUUCCAGAAGAAAAAACGCAAUUGCAAGCUUUUCAAAAAUUAAAAGUGACCACAGUAUAGCCGAAAUAAAAUCAUACAGGAAAACUUACAUAACACAGCCAACAGCAAAGUGGGAAAAGCAAUCACAGCAAGCAAGUCAGGAGUUAAAUCCCUAGCCUGCAAACACUGCACACAAACGGACAGGGAAAAUACUUAAAAUCCUGUCGUUUAAUAAAGGGUAUGAACUGACGGUCCACACAGAAGAGGAAAUAAAACUAAUACGCAGUCAUUAGAAAAUGUGUGGUCACACAAGUCGAAUUAAUGCAAAUUUUAAAUCCAGAAUAAGGUCCUGUUUUCACAUAUUUGUAUCUUUUCUUAAAAAAUGGAAAUACCCGGGAGUUCCUGUCGUGGUGUGGCGAAAACAAUCCCACUAGUAUCCAUGAGGAUGUGGAUUCGAUCCCAGGCCUUGCUCAUCGGGUUUAGAAUCCAGCAUUGCUGUGAGUUGCGGUGUGGUGUAGGUCACAGGCUCGACUUGGAUCUCGUGUUGCUGUGGCUGUGGUGUAGGCCAGCAGCUGCAGUUCUGAUUCAACCGCUAGCCUGGGAACCUCCAUAUGCCACAGGUGUGCCCCCCCCAAAAAAAAGCAAAUAAAUAAAUAAAAAAUGGAAAUAUCCAAAGCUAGGAGAAAUGUAGAAAAAUAAUGCCAUUUAUUAUUUCGCUGGUGGAACGAUCAAGUAAUAAAAAGAAAGCAAUUUGGGGAACUUGACCCCUUGACUUACUAUUUCUACUUCCUUGAGUCUAAACCGAAGAAAAAUAAUCCACCGUAUUAGCUUUUUUUUUUCCCUCCUUUUUUUUUUUUUUUUCCCUCCCCCCCCCUUUUUUUUUUGGUCUGCCCUGAGGCAAAUGGAGUUCCCUGGUCAGGGAUCAGAUCUGAGUUCCAUCCUAAGCCAUAGCUUAGGCAACACCAGCUCCUUAACCCACUGUGCCAGCCCGGGGAUUGAACCUGCAUCUCAGCAUUCCCAAGACGCCUCCAGUCCCAUUGUGCCACAGCAGGAACUUCCUGAAGAGAUAAUCCAAAAUGGAAACAAAUAUAUUCACUGUAGUGAUAUUUGAUAAGGAAGAAAAAUUGAAAGCAAACAUAGGGUUCAAUGCUUAGCAGAUUAUGGUCCAUUUGCUCAUGCACACAAACAUUUACUGAGCACCUACUGUCUGCCAGGUUCUGUGCAAGAAGCUGAAGAAACAAAGAUGGGCCAGACAGAUUCUAUAAAGGGCAUAUUACAUGGCAGGCAUGAGAGUGGGGAGCGAGCAGGGAGUAGGCAUUUAUUGAGGAGCUAUUAUGUGGUAGGCAUUUUACAUAUAUCACCAUACUUAAUCUGAGGUCCUGAGCCACACAGUCCUUGAGUGAUAAAUUGGGGCAGGAAGCAGCCAGCAGAGAAGGGUCAUACAGCAUGCCUGGGGGAGAUACAGAACCCGCCUGAAUUUUGUUCUUUCUCUCGUCCGUCUCUGGUCCUCAGUCCUUGUCUCUCAGAUCACCCUGGGAACAAUGAUGCGUGACAGAUUUUGGCUGUAAGAAGGAACUUCAAGGCUCCCAAACAACUAAGUCCAGUCCCCUGCAGGGCAGAUUCUAGAGCCACUACCAGCUAAGAAUUCCAAAGAUUUUUCCUUUUAGCAUCCCUAGGAAUUCCUCUCUCUCCCUGCCCCUGCCCGUCAGCUUGCAUCUCAAAUUUACUAGAGUGCUCUGCCAAUGAAGUUUGCUCUAUUUGACAGAAUCCCAUCUCCUGUAAGCUGGUUGGGGUUAUAAAUAACACAAUAAAUUUUCACGUACAAAAUGUGCCAGCAAACAAACCAAAAGCUUUAAUGGUUCUCCAAUACCUAAUAACACAUUUAGACACCUAACAAUGAUUUUCCAGAGCCUCUGUUAUCACCUGUUGCUCCUGAAAACAUCAUCUCCAUUCCAUUUAAUAAGCCACCUUGGAGCCAAGAACUUGGUUUUAGAAAUGAGGAUAUAAGGCAAUACAAUAAUAAAAUCAGAAAUGCAAAUUUGCAGAGUUUCCAUUGUGGCUCAGUGGGUUAAGGACCUGAUGUUUUCUCUGUGAGGAUGUAGGUUCGAUCCCUGGCCUUGCUCAGUGAGGUAAGGCUCUGACAUUGCCACAAGCUGCAGUGUACAUCACAGAUAUGGCUUGGGUCCAGUGUUGCUGUGGCAGUGACAUAGGCUGCAGUCAUAGCUCUAGUUCAGCUCCUAGCCUGGGAACUUCUAUAUGCUGCAGGUAUGGCUGUAAAAGAAAAAAUGCAAAUUUAAGUCGAUAAUGAAAGAAAUGCAAAUGAUGUGAAGAGUAU